rnacentral:lncRNA from 1 species
CCUGCUUGGGCAGGGGAAGGACCGAAAACCAGAGGGGCCGACAGGGCAAAGCACCCCAGCAGACCUUACGGAGGGAACCAGGUCAGUGCCCCCGGGAGCUCAAGUGCGCCCAGACUUAUCUGCAUGGCAUUGGACAGAGUAUCUUAUGAACAAGAGAGGAAAACGCAGACUGGGCAAGGAUUAAGUUAGGUCUCCCUUCCAUGUUUUCCAAGACUGGAAAUGGCCCCCUGAUGUCCAGAAGUAGAAGCGCUUUAUGGAGGUGGAACAGGAGCGGGAGGCAACGGGCUCUUGAGGGAUCAGUCUGGAAUGCCCCUGCUGCUGGCCAGGGGACCGUGAGGCCCCAGCAGUGCCCUUCACUGCGGGCCGCUAGUUCUGCUCUCUAUCUGCUGAGGCAAAGAAUGCUGAUGUGUGAGCAAGGUCCAAAGAGAGCGUUCAACUAAAAUUAAUAAAAGUAAUAAACAGAAGCACUGCUCCAAUGAGGAUGAGCGCUGUGACCUUGCAAUCUGCAAUCAGCUUCACAAACCAGAGAGGAAGGUGAAUCCGACGAGGACCAGGCUGGAGAUGAACACCAAGGAACGUGGAUGCUUCAAGGACGGUGUUGCAGUUUAAUAAUUCAAGGAAGUAUGCUUUAAAAGAAAUGAAAUCUAUUAAAAGUUGUAUUAUCAUUUGACUAAUAAAUGCUAUAUAGGCACAACAAAUAACCAAAUAAUUAAAGCAAAUCCAAUCUCUGAAUGCAAACAUCCUUUCAACAGUCCUUAAUCGCUUUUUUUUUUCUGCUGCUCAGGCUGGAGUACAGGGGCAUGAACUUGGCUCAGUGCAACCUCCUGCCUCCUGAGUUCAAGAGAUUCUCAUGCCUCAGCUUCCCAAGUAGCUGGGAUUACAGGCCCACACCACAACGCCCAGUUAAUUUUUGUAUUUUUAGUAAAGACAGGGUUUCACCAUGUUGGCCAGGCUGGUCUCGCACUCCUGACCUCAGGUGAUUGCCCGCUUCUGCCUCCAAAAGUGCUGGGAUUAUAGGUGUGAGCCACUGUGACUGGCCCUUAAUUUGCUUUUAAAUAUAAAUAUUAAAUAAUAUCUAAGGCUGGGCGCGGUGGCUCACGCCUGUAAUCCCAGCACUUUGGGAGGCUGAGGCAGGUGGAUCACGACCAUCCUGGCUAACACGGUGAAACCCCGUCUCUACUAAAAAUACAAAAAAAUUAGCCAGGCGUGGUGGCAAGCACCUGUAGUCCCAACUACUCGGGAGGCUGAGGCAGGAGAUUGGCGUAAACCCAGGAGGUGGAGCUUGCAGUGAGCCGAGAUCGC